UUCGAAUACAGAGAAGCCUAGCCUUUAAUGCCGUUGUCCCCGUAAUGAUUUCCAAGUAUAAAAACUCUCGGGAGGAGGUCGUUCCAUCACCGAACACUUGAAACAUUUUUCGGCCAUGGCCUGCAUUAAGAAAUGAGAUGAAAAGUCAUCAAACUGACAAAGAAACAGAAGAAAGACGAAGAAACCCUCAAAAAGAGAAUAGUUUUGCAGCCAUGGCAGUCACUUCAAGUCCUGCUGAUUUGAAUGGAAAAGAAGUUGUAGAGAAGAGUCAGGCAAAGUGUCCGGGAGUUCGUGUUGUUGGAGGGAGGAUCUAUGAUUCUCAAAACGGGAAGACCUGCCAUCAAUGCCGACAAAAAACAAUGGAUUUCAUUGCCGCAUGUACUACUCAGAAAGGAAAUAAACUAUGCACUCUCAAGUUCUGCCACAAAUGCCUAUUGAACAGAUACGGAGAGAAAGCAGAAGAGGUAGCUUUGUUGGAUGACUGGCAGUGUCCCAAGUGUAGGGGCAUUUGCAACUGUAGCUUCUGCAUGAAGAGACGAGGUCACAAGCCCACUGGCAUACUUGUUCGCACAGCCAAGGAAAAUGGGUUCUCCUCUGUCUCAGAACUGCUGCAGGUUAAAGGUUCUGAAAAUUUGAACCACUACAAGGAUGUAAAAGACAACAAUGUUUCACUGAAGAGUAGUGCAUUGUCAGAGGAGGAGUCUACAGUUACUUUGCCACGGAAAUCAGGGAAUGAAGAUUCUUUUGAAGAAGACAUUGAUAUGAAUUUGCAUUCUCAGAAUUUAACACCCAUCUCUUUUGGGAAGAAAUCUAAUAAAACAAAAAGGAAAGGACCAGAGGAAGUUAGUGAUGGCAACAUGGAUGCUGAAACUAGGUUAAAGGAGAGUGGUCAGAAGAAAUCAAAAAAGGAAGGGACUAAGGAAGUUAGUAAUGGCGGUAGGAAUGGUGAAGCUGGUUCAAAGGCUAGAAUUACUGCAGAGGUUUCUGAAAACAAAGCGAAGACCAAUGACAAGGAUAAAUGUGAUGUUGUCAAGGACAAGAAUGAAGAUGCUUUUGUGGAGAAAAAGAGGUCUAAGACACAGGCUCAAGAGUUUUCCAACAAUGAAGUUUUACUCGGUACAAAUUAUUAUGGUGGUAUAGUUUGUGGUGUUAGAAAUGACAGAAUUCGAACCGAGACCAAGAAGGAUGGAGACUCAUGCAAAGUUAACAAGUUUCCUUCAGAAUUUCAAACCAAAUCAAAGACAGCCAAUGAGAGGCGGCUUACCACAGAAAUUCAGAACAAAGAAAUUGAUGCGGACAUUAAGUUACCUCAGGGAACCUGCUUAAUGGCUGUAGCAGGUUUUGAGUUGCCUCCUGAAGAUGUCGGUAAUGCAUUGCAAUUCUUGGAGUUUUGUGCUAGUUUUGGUAAGGUUCUUGGUCUGAAGAAAGGGCAAGCUGAUACUAUACUUGGAGAAAUUGUAAAUGGUCAUAGAGAGCGUCGGUCACAAUCCUAUCACCUAGCCCAGAUUCAUGUUCAGUUACUAUCAGUGAUACAAAAGGAUAUAGGAGAAGAAUCUCCCACCCUAACUGCAACAAAUGACAACUCAUGGUUUAAAGCUCUCAGUAAAUGUGUCUCGAAAUGCCUUUUCAUAGCGAAAGAAAUUCUCUCUGGCAGUUUUGACCUGGACAAUGAAGGAUAUGAUAACUUAAAGAGCUCUGAAAAGCUUAAACUCUUGAAUUUUCUAUGUGAUGAAGCUCUUAAUACCAGAGAGUUGAGGAGUUGGAUUGAUGAUGAAAACUCCAAAUUUCUUGAAAGAAAGAAGGGAGCUAAGGAAAAAGUUUAUGCAGCAAAGGAAAAGGAAAAAAACUUGAAAAGGAAGAUGCAAGAUGAGGUGGCCAAAGCUAUUAUUGAGAAAAACGGUGCUCCCAAUUCUGUUUCUAAUCAUAAAGAACUAGUCUCACAAAUAAAAAGUGAAGCCGCACAAGCUCAUGCAGAAAUGCUUGAGGCCAUGGGCAUGGCACAAAAGAAGAGACUAUCCAACGCUGUCAGAACAGACCCUGUCCUUCUGGAUGUUGAUGGCCGUGCUUUCUGGAAACUAAAUGGUCAUGAUUGUCAGUCAGCUAUUUUGCUUCAAGAUAUGGGUGCAUGGAAUUCUGUUGCACCCAGUGAAAAAUGGGUAGCAUAUGCUGAUGAACAGAAAAUGGACAUUGAAAAAUACAUCUCUUUCUCGAGGGCAAAAAUGUGUAGGGUUCAACAAAAAGCUAUUGAAACCCCUUCAAUUGAAAUUGAUACUGGAACCUCUUCAAUUGAUAUUUGAUGAAACAAAGUCGGAAUGAUUUUCUGAUGUCCAUCGUCUGACAAAAAAAAAAUUGAGAUCAAGUGGAAAAUACAGAGGUUCGGUUGCUUCAUGGUCAAUAGCACCUGAAGUUAUUGACAACUUCUAUUUAACAUUUGUUGCUUGCUCGAGAUAAAGAUGAAAGAUCAUUCUUUUAGAGGAAAAACUGCUGCUGUAUGCGAUCCUCCUUGCAAAGGUUAUUUCCUUAUGUACACUAUUGUUAGGGGCAAGCUUUACAAAUACUAGGCUUGCUGCUUCCUUGAUUUCUUGCUUGGGAACUGCAAUUGUAGUAGCUGGAUACAUUGUAAUAAAAAGGAAUUCCUCAAAUAUAUUUAUUUGAUUUGCUUUCUUGUACA